rnacentral:lncRNA from 10 species
CAUUCGGCUAAACGUGGGGAUGCAUUAAAGACAUUUGCAGACAUCCUUUCUUCUAUUGCACCUUUUCUCAGGAAACUUUUAGAAGCAUUCCGUCAAAACUACAGACUAGAACAUGAGUCACCCCCUGCACGAUGCCCAGUCCUGUCACUGGGCAGUUUCCUGAAAGCUGCUACCAUCCCCCAUCUGAGUUCCAGAUGCAGUGCCAAGGCUGGGCUGGGGGCACAGGGAGGAGCUGGCCCAGUGAACGGAGCACAAACCAAGACAGCCCAGUGAGGGGUCCCCAGCGAGAGAUAGAGCAAAGGGGUGCAUUCAACAUUCAAGUUCCCAAGACCCCUACAACACAGGCUGUACCCAGUGUUGGCAUGUGGUAAGGGGCCUGUUGUGCAGGUUGGCCACUGCUCAACUGAAAAAAAAGUGGCAGCUGCCAGAGGCUGGCCUUGAACCAGGGAAGCUACCCACUCUUUAGCCAUCACUCUGCACUCUAUUAUGUUGCCAUUACGGAAUGAGAGUGGAGCCCGGAUAUUGCCCCAGACCUCGACCCUGUGAGUUCAGUGCCACUGGCUGCCCAGAGCCCCUCUCUGUCUGUCUCUCCUUGGCCUGGAGGAGAGUGUGGCCACAGGUAGUAUCCAAAGCCUUUCCUUAGGGCCUUCUCCUGACCUAUCCUGCUUCCCGGGCUCAGGGGACAUCUCCCGGAGUUCCAACCACACGACUGAAGAUCCAGCGAGCCUCAUGGAAGGGGUUGUGUGUUGUCUUUCCCACGUCCCUUUCUUCUCUCUGUCCCUCUGCCCCUCUGCCCCUUCCCGUGCCUGGGAGAGCUCCAGAGUCACCUUCCUCCAUCACAGAGCAAUUGAGCUCCAGGCCUACAACCCUAAGAUGGGCAAACCCAGCCCAUCUUUGGCUCAGCCAAAUCUUCCAGGUCCCAGCCACCCACCCACUUGCAAACACACAUACAUCUUCACCCCACAGGUGACCUGUGCCAUACUCCUAGGGGUGUUCAAACUCAGGGGAAGGGGUGGUGCUCCCUCAGGGAACAGCGCCAUGACUCUACGACAGUCAGUACUGGCAGCUGUCAGAGCUGUCAUUCCCUGAGUGCAACUCUUAAUGAGGGCCUAUUAAGUCUCCUCUUAUGACUGCAUAAUUGUUGCCACAAGGAGGCUUUGUUCUCUUUAUUUUGGAAAUGAAACUGUUUUAUAUCCCUAAAGCAAGAGAGAUGGACACCAGCUUGGGGCGCACUGGAGAACACAGAACGGCAGGGCAGGGGCUCCACUGGGUUGGGGCUCUGGUGUCCCCAGGCUACUGCAGACACAGCCCUGAGCCCAGGGAGCAGCAGCUGUUGUUUCUGCAGCAGAGCGGAGCGGCCAGGUCAGCUCCAGCCCUCCUGUGAGCUGUGGGAAGUUGCCACAGGCCCACCGGCCCUCCUCACUUCUCCUGUAGCUCCCAGCAACUGUCAUCAUGAACCAUCUGCACCCUCACCACCCCUUAGGGGCUGGGCAGUGGUAGGGCUCUUAUUCCCAUUGACCAUGAGAAAACAGAGGACGCUGGUUGGCCUGGCCAGGGUCCCUCAGGUGUAAAGGGAGGAUUAACAGGAAGAAGAAGUUGAGCAUGUCCUAUGUCCGAGGCACAUCUGCUCUAAGUCUUCACAUACACGACCUCACCUGCUCACUACCACAGGCUGCAGAGGAGGAGCUGAGCUCCCAUGUUAAGCUUCCCAUCCUCAAGAAUGUGGCUGGGCCAGACCCAGACUCUGAGGACAUUCAGGGACACUGUGCCUCGCCAGCCCUCUGAAGUGCUCAGAACGUAUGUCCCGACCCCACUGAAUGCCAGGAACCAUGCACUGGGAAGUGGGUGGACAGGAGAGACAAGACAUGCUCCUUCCCCAAGAGGAGGCUGCAGGCAGCAAGGGAAACCCUUAGCUCAUUUCUUUUUAGUGCUGAAUAAUAUUCCAUUGUCUGGAUGUACCACAGUUUGUCCACUCACUUACUGAAAGACAUCUUGAUAGCUUACAAGUUUUGGAAAUUCGGAAUAAAGCUGCUAAAAACAUCCAUGUGCAGUUCUUUGUGUGGAUGUACAUUUUCAACCCAUUUGGAUAAACAGAAUGGACUUGCAGUUGCUGGAUUACAUGUGCUUAAGGUGAGAUUCACUUGCACCUGAAUCAGCAGAAAAUAUUUGGAGCUUCAAGAAUAAAUGCAGAUGGCACUUAGAGAUGCUGCACCCAAUGUCAUAAGGGAUUCUGUGGAGGAGCUCAUUCCGAUGAAAUAGCCUUCUUUCUGCCAGAUCUCGCAUGAACCGAUCUUAAAUUGAGUUGCAUAAGGCAAACACCAGACCACUCAUCACUUAAGAAGCUUAAUAGAACAGAAAUGCCCUGAAGACAGAGUCAAGAGUUAAAGUGGAAGGAGAAAUGCCUAAACGGGAAAGACUGUUCAUUCUACAGUGCCCUGAGUAUGACCAUUUUCUAAGCACAGCCCAAAUAGCCAUAGCUAAAGGUGCAGAUGAGAAGUUAAAGAUGCAAUAGGACAAGCCCAAGAGCUCCUCCAGACAUGCAUCCAACUGUUGUUACCUUUUUGUGAGGGAAUGUGAAUCUGUGAUAAAAGACUGAAUUAAAGAUUCUCCAGGAACCAUGCAUGGGAAUGAAUGCUUUCUAGUGAACCAUACCGCUUCUCCUUUUAAAUAUC